AGUGAACGCUGGCGGUAGGCCUAAUACAUGCAAGUCGAACGGCCGCACAGUAAGAGCUUGCUCUUACGGGUGGCGGGUGGCGGAUGGGUGAGGCAUACACCGGAAUCUACCUUUUCGUGGGGGAUAACGUAGGGCAAGUUACGCUACUACCGCAUACGUCCUAUCGGUGAAAGCAGGGGUUCUUCGGACCUUGCGCGACUGAAUGAGCCGAUGUCGGAUUAGCUUGUUGGCGGGGUAAAGGCCCACCAAGGCAACGAUCCGUAGCUGGUCUGAGAGGAUGAUGGCCCACACUGGAACUGGGACAGGGUCCAGACUCCUACGGGAGGCAGCAGUGGGGAAUAUUGGACAAUGGGCGCAAUCCUGAUCCAGCCAGACCGCGUGGGUGAAGAAGUCCUUCGGGUUUUAAAGUCCGUUUGUUGGGAAAGAAAAGCAGCAGGUGAAUAGCCCGCUAUUCUGACGGUACCUGAAGAGUAAGCACCGGCUAACUUCGUG
rnacentral:rRNA from 1 species